UACGAAGGGUGCAAGCGUUAUUCGGAAUCACUGGGCGUAAAGGGUGUGUAGACGGUUUAUUAAGUUCGUUGUUAAAGGCCUCCGGCCUAACUGGAGUAUUGCAGUGAAAACUGGUGAGCUAGAGGGUGAGAGAGAGAAGUGGAAUUCCCGGAGUAGCGGUAAAAUGCGUGGAUCUCGGGAGGAACACCAAUGGCGAAGGCAGCUUCUUGGC
rnacentral:rRNA from 1 species